GCAUCGAUAGCUUAUUGGCAGAGCGGUGGGGCGUUGACCCAUGCGCCCUGCUUCGAGCCCCGGUCGAUGCA